UGGAGACGUGCGAACGCCCCUGUCCUGUCCCCUUGGUCGGAUGGAGACGUGCGGAUGCCGCUGUCCUGUACCCUGGGUCGGAUGGAGACGUGCGAACGCUGCUGCCCUGUACCCUGGGUCGGAUGGAGACGUGCGAACGCCCCUGUCCUGUCCCCUUGGUCGGAUGGAGACGUGCGGAUGCCCCUGUCCUGUACCCCGGGUCGGAUGGAGACGUGCGAACGCUGCUGCCCUGUACCCUGGGUCGGAUGGAGACGUGCGGAUGCCCCUGUCCUGUACCCUGUGUCCAACUCUGGGCUGCGAUUAACGACCUCGCUGCGUGACCUCAGGAACAUUAUUUCAGCUCUGGCUGCCUUCGUUGCCUCAUCUUCGAAGUGGAGACAGUAAUGGAAAUUAAGAGAGUGCAAACAUUCUGCUUGAGCCCCUUAUCCAAAGUGAGGCGACACGAGAUCGGAAGAAUGGGCUGCACGUGUACUCACCAUCAAGUUGUGGGAGCUGUUCUCCCGGGCUGGAUGGAAAGAAGGUAACUGCUAAGGCAACCUGAAAGGCAGCACUUCCCGAGGUGCCACCCACAGGAGCAGCUCCUCCCAAAAGCCGCGCUCCCCACUUCUUCCUGCCAUGCUGCUGUCCUGGGCCAUUGUCCUUGCGUGGCUCACCGUGUUAGUAGGGACUAACGUGGUGUGUGUGUUAUAGCACAUGCCUGAUAGCCUGCCCAGAGCCUUCCCACUGCCACUAACAGAAACAAAAAAGAAAGCAAAAGCAAGUGAGAGGAGAAGGGAUAGCAAAGAAAGCAGAAACCGUUUUUCUGUAGGAAAGUACUUUUUCAACAGUUAGGCUUAAGAGAAAGCCACAAACAGUUAAGGAAAGGGAAGCAUUUUCUGAUCAAAAAGACCUGCUCUUAUCAAGGAAAUAGAAGCAGAAAUAAACAUUAGUCUCUGAAACCAACACUGUCUCUUCCAU